GGAAUGAGUCCUCUCCAAAAUGCUGCAUCAAUUUUCCGUGUAAUAAUUUGAGUUUCUCUUCUCUGAGUCUGACAAGAUUUACAAGAUCAUCUGCCUUAGUUAAAAUAAUUUUGGCUGUGCACUCUGAGUGAAACAUUCCCUCUCCAUACAUUCAAGACUCCAUCUUCAAAAGAAGCUUCCUUUCAUGUGAGGAUCUGACAAUCUUUUAAUAGCAUCACUGGAUGGCAAUACCAGAGUGUGUUCCUGUGUUCACCUCCGCCUGCCUUGAAGGUCUCCACCACUGCCUUAAGCUUGGAGAAGGCCACUGUUUCAACAAACAGAAUGAUGCUUUCCAAGUGGAAACAAAUGAUGACGACAUUCUGGUUUAUAGCCAGCAUUUGGAAGCACUUAAAGAAGAUUUUACAAAUAGAUUUCAGGAUUUACCCAACAUGAUCAUUCCAGAUGGGGUCCUAGAACCUUCCUCAAGACUAUGGAUAGCAGAAGUAUCACUGCAGGAGGAGCUGACAGAAUUGUCAACAACUGAAGAGUUAUAAUUGAAAUUUAAAAAUGAAUAUCAAGAAUUUUGGCUGCAAAGGCAAAUUCUAAUAUUAUAUCCAAGCUUACGGACUGUAGCAAAGAAGUUUUUCAUUGCAUUUCCAUCAUAUUUAGCCGAAAGAGGAUUUAACAUGAUCGGCAAUCUACUAACAAAGAAAAGAAACAAAUUGUCAAUAGUGAAAUGUGGUGAUUUAAGAUAGAUGAUGACAAAAAUGACAUCAAACUUUGAAAAAUUAGUGUCAUCUCACCAAGCUCAA